rnacentral:rRNA from 1 species
UGCCCCAGUAACGGCGAGUGAAGCGGCAACAGCUCAAAUUUGAAAUCUGGCUCUCGGGCCCGAGUUGUAAUUUGUAGAGGAUGCUUUUGGUGAGGUGCCUUCCGAGUUCCCUGGAACGGGACGCCAUAGAGGGUGAGAGCCCCGUCUGGUUGGACACCGAUCCUCUGUAAAGCUCCUUCGACGAGUCGAGUAGUUUGGGAAUGCUGCUCUAAAUGGGAGGUAUAUGUCUUCUAAAGCUAAAUACCGGCCAGAGACCGAUAGCGCACAAGUAGAGUGAUCGAAAGAUGAAAAGAACUUUGAAAAGAGAGUUAAAAAGUACGUGAAAUUGUUGAAAGGGAAGCGCUUGUGACCAGACUUGGGCUUGGUUGAUCAUCCGGGGUUCUCCCCGGUGCACUCUUCCGGCUCAGGCCAGCAUCAGUUCGCCCUGGGGGAUAAAGGCUUCGGGAAUGUGGCUCUCUCCGGGGAGUGUUAUAGCCCGCUGCGUAAUACCCUGUGGCGGACUGAGGUUCGCGCAUUCGCAAGGAUGCUGGCGUAAUGGUCAUCAGUGACCCGUCUUGAAACACGGACCAAGGAGUCGUCUUCGUAUGCGAGUGUUCGGGUGUCAAACCCCUACGCGAAAUGAAAGUGAACGCAGGUGAGAGCUUCGGCGCAUCAUCGACCGAUCCUGAUGUUAUCGGAUGGAUUUGAGUAAGAGCAUACGGGGCCGGACCCGAAAGAAGGUGAACUAUGCCUGUGUAGGGUGAAGCCAGAGGAAACUCUGGUGGAGGCUCGCAGCGGUUCUGACGUGCAAAUCGAUCGUCAAACAUGGGCAUG